rnacentral:tRNA from 1 species
GGCGGUAUGGAUCAAGCUGUAGAGCACCUGCUUAACAAGCAUAAGGCCCUGAGUUCAAACCCCAGUGCCACCA